GCGAGUGAAGCGGCAAGAGCUCAGAUUUGGAAUCGUGUUUCGGCACGAGUUGUAAAUUGCAGGUUGGAGUCUUUGUGGAAGCGUGUGUCCAAGUCCCUUGGAACAGGGCGCCAUUGAGGGUGAGAGCCCCGUGGGAUGCGCGCGGAAGCAGCAAGGCCCUUCUGACGAGUCGAGUUGUUUGGGAAUGCAGCUCUAAGCGGGUGGUAAAUUCCAUCUAAGGCUAAAUACUGGCGAGAGACCGAUAGCGAACAAGUACUGUGAAGGAAAGAUGAAAAGCACUUUGAAAAGAGAGUGAAACAGCACGUGAAAUUGUUGAAAGGGAAGGGUAUUGGGCCCGACAUGGGGAUUGCGCAUCUCUGCUCCUUGUGGGCGGGGCGCUGUGCUUUUCCUGGGCCAGCAUUGGUUUUUGCCGCAGGAGAAGGGGUACUGGAAUGUGGCUCCUCGGAGUGUUAUAGCCAGUGCCAGAUGCUGCGUGCGGGGACCGAGGGCUGCGACAUCUGUCUCGGAUGCUGGCACAACGGCGCAAUACCGCCC
rnacentral:rRNA from 1 species